UAGGGAAUCUUCGGCAAUGGACGAAAGUCUGACCGAGCAACGCCGCGUGAGUGAAGAAGGUUUUCGGAUCGUAAAACUCUGUUGUUAGAGAAGAACAAGGACGUUAGUAACUGAACGUCCCCUGACGGUAUCUAACCAGAAAGCCACGGCUAACUACGUGCCAGCAGCCGCGGUAAUACGUAGGUGGCAAGCGUUGUCCGGAUUUAUUGGGCGUAAAGCGCGCGCAGGCGGUUUCUUAAGUCUGAUGUGAAAGCCCCCGGCUCAACCGGGGAAGGUCAUUGGAAACUGGGAGACUUGAGGGCAGAAGAGGAGAGUGGAAUUCCAUGUGGAGCGGUGAAAUGCGUAGAUAUAUGGAGGAACACCAGGGGCGAAGGCGGUUCUCUGGUCUGUAACUGACGAUGAGGAUCGAAAGAGUGGGGAGCAAACAGG
rnacentral:rRNA from 1 species